GUUGGUAGAGCAGUUGACUUUUAAUCAAUUGGUCGCAGGUUCGAAUCCUGCACGACCCACCA
rnacentral:tRNA from 2 species